AGUGUUAUGACUUGAUUUGGAAGAAGUAUUCUCAAUUUUUUUAAAAACUGCAGGUACGCAAAUUUUGGGGACGAAAUUUUUUUUUAGGAGGGUGGGAUGUAAGACCCCGGAACUGGGCCCGGUCCAAAUGACCGGCCCAGUCCCAAAACCCCGGCCUCACGUGCGUCGGGAUGGACUGUUUCCAUCCCGAAGAAGAAGGAAGCCCUGUUUUUAGGGCUUCCUCUCCUCCUUAAGACCACCGAGAAGAGCCGCCAGGGAGAAGGGGGGAUCCUUCUUCCUUGGGCUACUGGCCGAGAGAGAGGGAGAGAGCCAUUAAAAUCGGGAUAGCUUUGGCACGGGUGGUCUUC
rnacentral:lncRNA from 1 species